ensembl:lncRNA
UGCGUGCGUGCGUGCGAGUGGUGUCUCAGGGUGGUGGGGUGUGUGUGCGUGCGAGUGGUGUCUCAGGGUGUGUGUGCGUGUGUGCGUGCGAGUGGUGUCUCAGGGUGUGUGUGUGUGUGUGUGUGCGAGUGGUGUCUCAGGGUGGGGGUGUGUGUGUGUGUGCGAGUGGUGUCUCAGGGGGUGUGUGUGUGUGUGUGUGUGCGAGUGGUGUCUCAGGGUGUGUGUGUGUGUGUGUGUGCGAGUGGUGUCUCAGGGUGUGUGUGCGUGUGUGUGGUGCGAGUGGUGUCUCAGGGUGUGUGUGCGUGUGUGUGCGAGUGGUGUCUCAGGGUGUGUGUGUGUGUGUGCGAGUGGUGUCUCAGGGUGUGUGUGUGUGUGUGUGUGUGUGCGAGUGGUGUCUCAGGGUGUGUGUGCGUGCGUGCGAGUGGUGUCUCAGGGUGUGUGUGUGUGCGUGCGAG